AACGAACGCUGGCGGCAGGCCUAACACAUGCAAGUCGAGCGAAGCCUUCGGGCUUAGCGGCGGACGGGUGAGUAACGCGUGGGAACGUGCCCUUUGGUACGGAAUAGCCCCGGGAAACUGGGAGUAAUACCGUAUGUGGUCGAGAGACGAAAGAUUUAUCGCCAAAGGAUCGGCCCGCGUUGGAUUAGGUAGUUGGUGGGGUAAUGGCCUACCAAGCCGACGAUCCAUAGCUGGUUUGAGAGGAUGAUCAGACACAAGGGGACUGAGACACGGACCAGACUCCUACGGGAGGCAGCAGUGGGGAAUCUUAGACAAUGGGGGAAACCCUGAUCUAGCCAUGCCGCGUGAUCGAUGAAGGCCUUAGGGUUGUAAAGAUCUUUCAGUGGGGAAGAUAAUGACUGUACCCACAGAAGAAGCCCCGGCUAACUCCGUGCCAGCAGCCGCGGUAACAC
rnacentral:rRNA from 1 species